GACGAACGCUGGCGGCGUGCUUAACACAUGCAAGUCGAACGGAAAGGCCCUGCUUUUGUGGGGUGCUCGAGUGGCGAACGGGUGAGUAACACGUGAGUAACCUGCCCUUGACUUUGGGAUAACUUCAGGAAACUGGGGCUAAUACCGGAUAGGAGCUCCUGCUGCAUGGUGGGGGUUGGAAAGUUUCGGCGGUUGGGGAUGGACUCGCGGCUUAUCAGCUUGUUGGUGGGGUAGUGGCUUACCAAGGCUUUGACGGGUAGCCGGCCUGAGGGGGUGACCGGCCACAUUGGGACUGAGAUACGGCCCAGACUCCUACGGGAGGCAGCAGUGGGGAAUAUUGCACAAUGGGCGGAAGCCUGAUGCAGCAACGCCGCGUGCGGGAUGACGGCCUUCGGGUUGUAAUCCGCUUUCGCCUGUGACGAAGCGUGAGUGACGGUAAUGGGUAAAGAAGCACCGGCUAACUACGUG
rnacentral:rRNA from 1 species